GACGAACCGUGCGAACGUUGUUCGGAAUCACUGGGCUUAAAGGGCGCGUAGGCGGGCUGACAAGUCUGGGGUGAAAUGCCGCGGCUCAACCGUGGAACUGCCUCAGAUACUGCCAGUCUCGAGGAGGGUAGGGGCAUCUGGAACAGCCGGUGGAGCGGUGAAAUGCGUUGAUAUCGGCUGGAACUCCGGUGGCGAAGGCGAGAUGCUGGACCCUUCUGACGCUGAGGCGCGAAAGCCAGGGGAGCGAACGGG
rnacentral:rRNA from 1 species